CAGUUCGGAUUGCAGGCUGCAACUCGCCUGCAUGAAGCUGGAAUUGCUAGUAAUCGCGGAUCAGCAAGCCGCGGUGAAUACGUUCCCGGGCCUUGUACACACCGCCCGUCACACCAUGAGAGUCGGAAAUGCCCGAAGCCGGUGACCAAACCAAUAAGGAAGGAGCCGUCGAAGGCAGGUCUGAUAACUGGGGUGAAGUCGUAACAAGGUAAC
rnacentral:rRNA from 1 species